rnacentral:lncRNA from 1 species
GGGAAGGUGGAGGUGCCAGAUGCCUCCUCCACUUCAGUGGUCACUGCUGAGAGUGCUCCUUGGGAAUAUCAGAUGGAAGGGUCUUUGAGGAAGGAUGACUUCCUCUGGAGUACGGAGGAGCAGGUCAAAGAAUUUAGGCAUAUAUCACUGGGGUCCAGGGAUUUGCAGGCAAGGUGCCUGAGGACUCGUGGGUAGCCAGCAUCACUGCAGCCUUCAGAAAGGGUGAGAAGGAGGGCCUGCGCAACUGUAGGCUGUUCAGGAUCACCUCCCUCCCUGGCACUGAAAUGGGACAGCUUGUUCUGGAUGUCAUCUCUAAGGAGCGGUCAUGGUGGAUUCAGCAAGAGGAAGUGAUGAUGGACUGACCUGGUAGCUUUCUGUGUUGUGACUGUCUGGUUGGAUGAGAGAAGGGCAGUGGAUGUUGUGGGGUGGAAUAUCACUCCUGUCAGUAAAUAUCUAAGUGUGGAGUUGAUGGGAGUGGGCUUGUGCAGGCACAGAUGGAAGGUAUGUGGUGGUAGAAUGGGGGUAAUGUUCACAGGCUGGAACACUGGUGGUUCUAUAGAAACAGAGGGAAGAUGGGUUUCACUGUGAGGGUGAUGGAAUAGGCUGUGGGGUCCCCUUCCCUGGGGAUUUAAGUUGCACCUGGCUGUUUUUGUGGGUGAUAUGCUAUGUAGGGAGGCUGCAUGAUCUGUUCACAGGGUGAGCGCCACAGUGGAGCAUUGAGGAUCAGCCUGAGGAAGGAUGUGAGCUGUCUGACCUGCCUACCUGGUGGCCCUUCAAGAAUGUGUUUGAGUUCUUCCUGCAGGUUCAGGUGUGUGGCAGGCCCACUGGUGGUGCUGGAGUUGUUUCAGUCUUCCAGGGCUGUUGUCUUCCCUUGGAUUGCGGUGCAGCUGGUGUGCCAGGAGGAAGGUCCCCAUCCUGGGUGCUGCAGAACUGUCAGGAGUAGCUCCUGUGUGGUGACUGCUCUGUGGUGGUGCUUCUGGUCCUGAAGGUGGGAGAUGGAGUGAGGAGGAGCUGGGUUCUGUGUUCCUGCUGAAGGAGAAAAUUCAUUUCAUUUCAAACCUCAGUGUUUGCCCCCAAAAUACUGGUGACUAACCUUACUUCUGUGGAGCGGAAAGUGGGUGAAGAUGCAUCCCUUUUGUAGAAGAAUGAGUGGCUUGUGAUGGCUUUCCGGGAAGACUGAUCUGCUGCAGGUAACCUGAGCUACUGCUUCACUGCACAACCCUUUGGAUUGAAUUGUGAAUAAGAAACCAUACUGGAUCAGAAGGGACUUGCAACUCUGGGAGACUGCCUGGACUCCAACUGCUAUGGCUGGGAGCAGCAUCCAAAUGCUUUGUGAACUGUCAGCCAUGGGCUGUGACUGCUGUCUCAGAGAAGCCUGUUUUGCUAUCUCACCCCUCUUUCUGACAAGUUUUUCUUCAUCUGCAACCUCUACCUUCUCUGACCUCUACAGCCUCCUUUCAGCUUAAAAAGAGAGGGAAUUUGAGCCUUCCUUGGAUGCUCGCUGAGAGCUCUUAUGUUAUAUUGCAGGUUGCAGAGCUGCACACUAUGCUCACGGUGAGGCUUUACCUCCCUGGAGCAGUGUGGGAUGAUCCCUUCCUUUGUUCAGCCGGGUGUGCUGGGCCUGAGGUGCCCCAGGGUGUGGUCAACCUUCUAAAUGACCAGGCAUGCUGCUGACUUGAAUUUAACUUGCUGCCAACUGUGGCACCCAGAUUCCUUUCCCUGGGGCAGCUCUCUGACCUCAUUCCCCCCUGUUCUGUAUGGGUAGCUGGGGUUGGCCUGUCUCACAUACAGAAUCAGGUGCUGGCUGCUGACAAAAUUCACACAGUUGGUGACUGUAGGGCCUGCUACUGUGUAGAGUUUGCUCUGCAGAGCCUGUUUACCCCUGAGGAGUCCCCAGCUCCUCCAAAUUUAGUGUCAUCAGCAAAAAUACUUAAUAUGCAUUUGACUCCUGUGUCCUGAUCAUUUAUAGAAAUACCAAAGGGAACUGCCCCUGCCAAGAAGCCCCUGGAAUUUGACUGGAGCCUGGCUGCCAGCCUCACAUAAUCUCAUUUAAUUCAAACAGAAUUAAAUUAGAUUUAGAUUUAAAUUUAACAAAUACUUGGAGCUGCUUUGGUAGGGGACUGAGUCACUGCUUGCUGUUUGUUUGUCUUAAGAGGUAUAGUUAGGAAGGGCUGUUUUCUGACACAGCAUUUAGUUUCUGGAUCCCCUUACCUGACAAGAAUUUUCCUUACCUACUCAAAGAGAUAAUACACACUUGGAAUUACACCACAGGCAAAGAUGUCUUGUUUUUGAACAGAUGGAGUUAAUAAAUGCAUCCCUCUAAUAGAGGAAUGGAAUAAGAGCUGUCUUAUAGCAUUAAUAAAUUCAUAGCUACUGAAUAAAGUUAAAUAUUUUCAACCACUACAAUCUAAAUCAUUUCACUAUUCACAUUUUCUGCAUAGUAAGAUUACUGGGGUGUAUCCUACCAUUAAUAGUCAGAAUGACUGACCAAGAAGUACAGAUUGCCACAAUAAAACCUAAAGCUGCAAAAAACAAACAACAACAA